rnacentral:lncRNA from 1 species
CUGCCCCCCCACCCCCGGCAGCUGAAACCCACGCGCAGACCCGGGCCUUGCAGGCCUCAGAGGAGGAAGCGCACAUAAAGGGAAAUUGUAUGCAGUCAGCCUACCCUCCCGCGCCACCGCUGCGUUUUUUUAAGGAGUUGACAUCAAAGUCUGGGAAGUCGCUCGGGCGGAACCUGAGAAUCCCUUGCUCAGCAAAUCCACCUGCAGUGCCCGGGGCCUCCGAGGCUGAGGAAGAAGAAAAGCCCUUUUCUUGCGCAGAAGCCAGAUGAGGAAACUGAGGUCCAGAUAAAAAUGAAAUUGAUUCCCAAGCCCUCCAAGUGGAGCGAGGACUUGAACCCAGACUGGCUGGCUCCAGAGGCCAAGCUUGUAACCACUAAUAGCAAUAGCAGCUGACACUUGGGUGUGAUCGCCCUUGCCUGCUGCACUUCUGGGCACUCCCGUAUCUGCCGAGCACAUCCUCCUGAGUGCGCUUAUUACCCUACGUUACACUCGGGGCAAUCCAGGCACAGAAAGGACUUGCUGCUCGCCCAGGUCAAGCAGCAGUAGAAGACAGAAUGGGGCUGAUCAGCUGCUUCCAGAAUACGUGGUCUACCCCUCGGUGCAGCCCCAGGACAAACUGAAUACAGGCUCAAUAAAUUGUCAAUGAAUCCUCCUUGAAAAAAAUUUUUACAUCUUAAAAUGAGCUGUAAUGGUGGAGUUCAGGUUGAAGAUGACAGGCCUAUGUUUUUUUUUUUUUUGUACUGGGGAUCGAAUUCGGAACCUUGCGCUUGGGAGGCAGGCGCCAGAACCACUGAGCUAAGUCCCCUGCCCUAGAGCUCUUUCCUAGCAGGCACAAGGCCCU